rnacentral:rRNA from 1 species
GAUGAACGCUGGCGGCGUGCCUAAUACAUGCAAGUCGAGCGAAUGGAUUAAGAGCUUGCUCUUAUGAAGUUAGCGGCGGACGGGUGAGUAACACGUGGGUAACCUGCCCAUAAGACUGGGAUAACUCCGGGAAACCGGGGCUAAUACCGGAUAACAUUUUGAACCGCAUGGUUCGAAAUUGAAAGGCGGCUUCGGCUGUCACUUAUGGAUGGGCCCGCGUCGCAUUAGCUAGUUGGUGAGGUAACGGCUCACCAAGGCAACGAUGCGUAGCCGACCUGGGCGGGUGAUCGGCCACACUGGGACUGAGACACGGCCCAGACUCCUACGGGAGGCAGCAGUAGGGAAUCUUCCGCAAUGGACGAAAGUCUGACGGAGCACCGCCGCGUGAGUGAUGAAGGCUUUCGGGUCGUAAAACUCUGUUGUUAGGGAAGAACAAGUGCUAGUUGAAUAAGCUGGCACCUUGACGGUACCUAACCAGAAAGCCACGGCUAACUACGUGCCAGCCGCCGCCGUAA